GUGACGUUACGUACAAACAGAGAAAGAAAGCUGGAAACUGCAGUAUAUAGCUACGGACUCUCAGUUGGCAAACAAUCAGAGACGAAGCGGUACCGCGUUUCAAGCUACCGAAUUCCGGUACAACUUCACGAGAAGUUCAACAAAUUAUCGAGAAGAUCUAACUAACAAACGGAAAAAGGAAAAAGAAAGUGACUAUUUUGGACCGUUUGUCUACGCACAACAGACGCUACUGCGUGUAUUUGUCUUUAGGUAACGAAAUCGCUAGAUUCUAGGAAAUCACUGGAAGAUCCAGCAGUCAAGUGGAUUACUAAUGGUCCUACCGUAUACAAAAUGCAUACUAAAAUUGCUGCGGAGAAAAUAAGUUGAAGAGUUAUUGCGAUUCUAGAUCGUAUUGCAAAGCAAAAAGAAGAGCUAUGCGUCAGUUUCGAAGUGCUGUACGAAUGCUUUACAGUGACGUUUCGUAAACUUUGAAGUUUUCAACUGACGGUAUACUGGCAAGCCUAGUUAGAGGUAUAAACAGUGCGACUCUCUGUAAGUAACUUGCUAGAAAGACUAGACUUUCAAGUUUGACCAUCUAAAUAUG